AUGGAACAAAGAGAUGCAGCGCGCACACCGCAGCACGCCAAUACGUUGCUUGCCCCGAAAGCUCUGAGAUCAGGGAUCAGAGCUCUGCUUUUGGGAGGGACGUCAGGUUCCAGUUUAAGGAGCAGGACGUGAAGUGCUGGAGCGGGGUGUGCUUGACUUGCUCCUGGUGCGCGUCAGGGCUGGGUCUUUGUGAUCAGACAUCAGAUUUCAGCAUUUCGUAAAGACGGAACGCGACUACCAGAGGAAACAAAACUGCCUUUCCCCGCCUAUUGUUUCUUACUACACGGGGCUUCGGACGCGAAGACCGGAGCGAGCAGGCUCACAGAUCCCAGCCGGCACCUUCAUAAGCAGCUCCCACCGAUCGCCUUCCCGGAGGGGUAACGCCCGCGGGCAGGUGCUCCCCGGAGGUGCUGGGGGUGUCCCGGGGCAGAGCCGCUCCCCGCGGGCUGCGCUCUCCCCACCGCGGCACUGCGCGCAGCGCUUCCCCCGGGCCGGGUAUUGCGGCACCGCCCGGCGGGGGCAGCCCCGCACGCAGCCCCGCACGCAGCCCCGCACCGCCCCCGUGCCGGGGCCGCUCUCCCGCAGCCCCGCAGCCCCGCGGCGCGGCCCGGCCUCCCGUUUGCCAUUGGUGCGGGGUAGCGGCGAGGGCGGGGCCGGCCGGGCCGCUAUUAAACAUCACAUGGCAGCCCGCAAAAAGGGGGCAGCGGCUCAUUGAGUGGCUCAGUUGCAAGCGGUGCGGCGGCGGCCGGCGGGCACCUUGGGAUUGGCUUGCAGCGUCCCCGCGGAUCUUACGCCCUUUAAACUCUCUCAGCACCUCUCUUAAGGCCACCGGCAGGGCUCCUUUCACGGGUAUUUCCACAUCCCUGGAAGAUGCAGAAGAUGCUCAGUGCCUCCCAGCGCACUCACAGGGAGCAAUAAGAAAACUUCUCUCCGUACAUGUUUCUUUCUGAGACAAGCUCCAUGACUGGUCACAACCUGUAAUAAAAAUGCCAUAUCCAAGAGAAUAUAUUUAAUAUCGGAAAGGCAAAAGAGAAUGAUAUGAUCUGUUUGGGGUUUGAAGAAGCACAGCAUUUUGCACUGGAAAUUGUGCCUUAUGGAGCCCUGUCAUUAGCCUGCUGCCUUUACAUUUUCCCAUGCAGCACAGAUGGAAUGAAUGGGACCAGCACGACAAUAGUACUUGGUUCUUUGGACCCAAUGAUCCUCACGGGUCCCUUCCAACUCAGGCUACUCUGUGAUUCUCCUGCUGCAACAAGCGAAAGGAACUUGCAUCAUGGAGCAAAGCCUCCUUCUGAUGGAGUCUCAGUACAGAUGGAAUCACAGAAUCAUAGAAUCACAAAGGUUGGAGCUGUGCAGUACAUGGCAGGACACCAUUCCCUCCAAAGUAUCAGAAAGAUCAUGAGCAGUGGGGAUGUUUUCCUAAGACUGGAAAAGAGCAAGAGAAGCAUCCCCAAAUGGGCAGCUGUGUUGGAAGGAUUGAACCUUCCAUCUAACCUUCGUAUAUCAGGUUGGACACUAGCAAAAAUUUCUUCUCCAACAAAGUGGUCAGACACUGGAAUGGGCUGCCCAGGGAGGUGGGGGAGUCACCAUCCCUGGAGGUGUCAAGAACCGUGGGGAUGUGGGACAAGGGAUGUGGUCAGUGGGCACGGUGGGGGUGGGUUGGACUUGGGGAUCUUGGAAGUCUUUUCCAACCUUAAUGAUUCUGUGAUUCUGUGAACCCUCCUGGUCUGCAAGAAAUACAGGAGGCAGUGUAUUCUGAAAAUCUCAAGAUUUAUCUCAAAAGUUAUCUCAAGAUAAGUUUCUGUAUUUCUCUAUUUCCAGUGCUCUAUUGGAAAUUUUAAAAAAUAAAAUAUCAGCAAAAAAAAAAAAUGAUUAAACAAAGAGAAAGGAGUGAAGAGGUUAGAACAAGACACAAGGGCUGAACUUGUGUCCAGGUGUUUCUUCUGUAAAAAAUUGGGUUGGCUUAUUAACUAUUCAAGAUCACUACCCUUCACACCACAGGCAGUGUCUUUUUUUUAAUGUUUCCCCACUAUUAUCAUGCUGUUGUAUGGUGCAUGGCUGUUUUUUCUGUUGAUGAAAUUACUGAGUAAAAGAGGAUGAUAUGAAAAACAGUGCUGGAUAGCUGCGUAUUACAUGUGCAUGAAAAAUCUGUGCUGGCAUGACUCUGCGUAGUGUUUUGCAGGUGAAGUCAUUACAGCAGAAGACCGCAUCUUUUGUUUUUGACUCUUGGAAAUGCAUCAAGCUUGGAACGGGGAAAGGGAAGAGAACAAGAGCUUAAUUUCUUUUGAAUGUAGUUCUUUCUCACUUCAUAAUUUUAAUGCCACUGAUGAUCAGCCUGAAGUCAGAUCCUGUAUUCAGUAUUACGAACUGAGGUACCAAGCUAGGGAUCCAAAAGAAGCCCAAAGCUGCUGGUAGGCCUUGCUAACAGUUUCCUGUUUUUGAGAUUUUGAUGACAAUUCAACAUUCAAGACAGAAAAUAACAGAACUGCUGGAAAAAUAUUUGACAUGGGAUUUGUGAAGUGCACAUGCUCAUCCCAAUUUUACCCUAUGAGAGACCAGUAUGAAUAACAAUGCUCAUUUUACAUAUUUGCCUGUAUAAUUUCAUGACCUGAAUGAUAUGGAAUUGUAGUUAUAAGCAUGUAAAGUCAUAGAGUCACUCUGGUUGAAGAAAACCUCUAAGAUCCCCAAGUCCAACCUCAACCCAUUCUCACCGUGCCCACUGGCCACGUCCCUCAGUGCCACAUCCCCACAGUUCAGAAACACUUCCAGGGACAAUGACUCCCCCACCUCCCCGGGCAGCCUGUGCCACAGAAUCACCGCUCUCUUGGAGACUAAAUUUUUCCUAAUAUCCAACCUGAACCUCCUCUGGCACAACUUAAGGCCAUUAGCUCUUAUCCUAGUGCAUCUCAGACUAUAAGACAGUUAAUCAGAAAAAAAUAUAUAUUCCUACUGUUCCUUGCAGUUGGAACAGUGUUACUGUAGAACACUGAUGUUGUCUGAGUCACUGGGAUGGGUCAUGGGCAGAGGCAGAAAGUGAUAACCAAAGGUACUAUCUCUAUCCUCCUGUGCCUGUAUAGACAGCUAAUUUAAACCACAGAAGUGAUUAAAAAAAAAAAAAAAAAGACUGUGUAGCUCAAGCCUGGAAAAAAAGACUCCUGAAAAACAGCCAGACCUUUAUAUCUGUACUUUAUCUCCUUCUGAUCUAGAAACUUUGACUCUUAUGCAGGUCAUCUUCUUAGUAAUUAGACAUAGAUCAAAUCCUGUGGAAAAUGUCCUUAAAAUAUGGAUUUGUGUCAUUCAAAAGGGGAAAACACAUUAAAAAAGAACCUGAAUCCAACUUUGAACUUCCUUUGGUUAUCAUGUUGUUUGGGUUCUAGGGCUUGGUUUUGGUCCGUCUUAAUAAACAGAGCUGACAAGCACAACCUGCUUAAUUCAUCAUGCAUCUGAAAUUGGAAUAAAGAAAAGAGCAGAUCUAUUUCUAUCUAUUUACAGGAUGGAAGCCUGAAAUUAAGAAGAAUAAAAUGUCUAGAAGCUUACUUGAGAUAAUCAUAUGGUUCAGCAUCUUUCUUUAAUUCAUACCCAAAAGUGACCUAGACCCAGAGAGAACACAUAGCUUUCAAGACAAUUUCAGAGUUUCUAUGAGCUCAUGACCCUUUUGUGUAAUCUGCAUUAUAAGUGAAAUUGUUUUGCAGUGAACUAGGAAAUGAUCACUAUCCAGCAUGUCACUAGGGACUCUUUCAAAUGGUAUAAUUAGAAUAAUUUCACUUGUAUUGGGCAGGGCACGGAUUCAAAAAGCAAUUCAGAGGCAAAAGGGCAAGCCGCCAGACCAUGCUAUGUGGAGCUGAGUUAUGUACUUCGUAUUUUAUUACUCUUCCAUGUAGAAUCGGGCAGUCAUGUAUUUAGCAAAUGCUGCUAUUUGUUGUCUGCAAUCUCUUCUGAAAUAGCACCAGUCUGCUCGGGGUCAAUACAACUGAGGUAGCAAUGGCUUCAAGAAAUACGAUGCAGAAAGUUAUGGUUUGGAAACUGGAGGGUAGAGGUUCUCAAAACCUCAGGCAGUUGGUGUCUUUCUAAGCAGAGGAAAGCAUUUAUACCCCAUUGUCCCCCAAGUGAAAUUGGGAACAGAGCGAAGCUGUGUCCAGGACUUGCACAGAUUUCAUUUCUAACUUUCAUUUGUUAACGUUUAUGGAGAGGACAACUUGAGUGUAAGGAAGAAUACAUUCUUGGAGACAAAGGCUCACGUUUUCAUGAGGUUUCCAUAAGCUUUGUGAAUGCUUUUCUCCCUGAGCUCUCUCCUUUCCUCGGUGCUUUCAGCAAAGUGUUUGCUCAGCCACACACCUCUCCCACUCUGGGAAUAUUUGUCUUUUACUCACUGCACAGAAAAUCUGGAGCCUUGGAGGAAUGAUACAAACACAGAUCAACCACUCAGGGACUGCGUUUACUGCCUUGGUCACACUGUCUGCUUUAGUAUUACAGUCCCUUGUACACUGAAUUCCUGGAACCCCCAGAAGGGUUUAGGGCAAACAAAAUCCUGUUUUAUACUUAUCUCUUUUCACCUCAUCCGAAAGGUGAAAACAUAGGAGAUGCUACCUAAUCACCAAAUCUAUCAAAAUCCCAAGUUCAGAAGUGAUUUUGGCACAUAAGUUUGUAAAUCCUGCAUUGGUCUCCAAAUCUGCACUUAUUUAUUUUUUAAUAAGUAUUUACACAUUUUAGAAAACACCACCCCCAACACUGCUAUGCAUUUAUCUUUCCCUGGUGAAAAAUAUUCCUUAUAUUCCUGGUGUGGUGUUUUAUUUGCACCGUCAGAAAGCUGUUUAACCCCGAAUGCCUGAGGCUCCCUUGAAGACACCUCUCAUACAAAGUGCUAUUCUCCAUUUAAAGACCCGCCAUUCUGGGCCAGCCUGGGUGAUGCUGAGGACUUAGCAUUAAGGCAUGUGGGCACACAAUGCCCUCAGGACUCCGCCUUCUCCCAACCCCUUCUAGGAGGUCUCUCCUCACUCAGUAACAUGGAUUUUCAGGAGCAUUUUCCAAGAUAAUUGAUCUUGCUGAAAUUCUUUGAAGAGGAUUGGCACGAUACAAAUGCCAUCAGACAGUUGAGUCAGAAGACGCCUGCUAAGAACAAAUUAAAACCACUUAACCUUGCAAGAUGUUACUCCUGGCAUUAUGAUAGCUGCUCCGCUCUGAUAAAAGCAAGAAUUCCAACCAGCUGAUGAUUUCAUCUCCUUGGCGUGGAGAUUACUGCACAGCUGCACAGCUGAGAUGUCACAAUAAAAGCAAACGCUUACAAAAGGUUCUUCUUCAUGCUUUUAGCUUGUAAAUGUGAGCAGCCUGCACGAUCCAUACAUGCCAGGAAUGUCAACAGUGGCUCGAGGCUGCAUCUAUCCCCUCUAACCCAGGGCAAUACAAAAUUACAAGUGAUAAAUCCUGAGCUCAAUGCAGCAAAAGAGCUAGUAUUUGGACAGAGAAACCUUUCAUGUGGGCUUGGGUAAUAUGUAAGCAAAGGAGAACAGACUUAUCCUGCCAGAAGAGCAGAACAGGUGAACUGCAUUAGCCUUCCCCUCUCCCCUGUUGCAAAGAUGAUAGAACUGUUUGAGUUGGAUGUGAAAUAUGGUGGGUUUUCUUCCCCCACUCCUCCCCGGUGGAUGGCAGGGGAAAAAACAAAAGGAAGUAGUUGUUUGGAGGGCUGUCAUUUGCUGUUCUAUUUGCUUUAGAGCACUUCUGGUAUAGGAAGCUGACAAAUGGCCACGCUUCCUGGAAGACAAACACUCCUGGAGCUUUUGGACAGGAUGAGUGCAGCUGUGCUUCGUACAUUUGUGCUUGGUGCAUUUGUCAGGAGGGCAAGUGCGAGUUUGCCAUGCACUUCAAGCCUGUGGCACUGCUGGAAAUUCCUUCUGGUACAUAAGAAAACAUAUUGACAUUGAAACCAAAGCAUUACCAAAAAGCGGGGAAAACACACGGUUUGGGGCAAAUUCCAUGUUCCAGAGAUGGCAAGGCAAUUUUUCUCUGGGUGGGCAUUCUCAUAACAGCUAAGGAUGAUUUUCUCCCACCUUUUCUGAAGCAGUCUAUUAGCAACACUUUAUUCCAGAAUUUAUAUCACCACUCUGUGAUCUUUUGGGAAAGGGAGACAGGAGAAGGGAACACUCAGAUGACCUGAAAAGCAUUACCACCAUUUGUAAUACGAACCUGAAGCCUGUAAAAUGAUGACAAGUAUGUGAUAUUGUAACAUUCUGGCUGACAUUUCAGAGUACAAAUAUCCACAUCUUCAUCCAGAUUGCAAAAUAUUAACGAUUUCAAAUGGAAAAAUCUAAUGGGCUAAACGCUGGUUUUUCUUCUCCUAUUUUAGGGACACCUAAAAUAUGCUUUUGUUGUUUUCUAAGAGAAAACGAAGCAUAUUCUGGAAGUGAAAUGGCUCAAAUUUAAGCGUUAGGAAAAGAAGCAAAACCCAGGUUUCAAUUUUAUGCACACACACACAGUCAGUUUUAAGGUAAAAUAUGGAUCAACAUACUUCUUGGGCUGAAAUUCUCUCUUUGUUAAUAAUACGGUGCCAAAUGCUUAAAAUCAUAAUACUUUGAUACUUUUCUGAUACUUUAGGUUAUUAACCAGUGGUUGGCAGCUAAUCAUAUAUGCUUUUUCCUUAGUUUUUCUGUUUCAAUUUCUGGUUGCUGUGACAAUUCCGGAGCAGUGAGGUUGGGUUUAACACCACCCAAUGACAUUCAAAGUAACUCUCAAGACCAACUUUCUUGGACUUCCUUUGGAAAAUUACCAACUUCCCUCUAUUCCCAAACCCACAUGGAAGGGUCUCUGAUCUCCUUUCUAUUUCGUGUUCCCCCUGUACAUCUGCACAGACAUUAGGAUUUUGGUGGACUUUCUGGGAGUCGGUUUUUAAGACCCAGCAGGCAGUGCGCCAGCCCCAUGGUCAGGUGCAGUAAUCCAAGGAGUGUAUAAUUUUCAAUUGCACACUCACAAAUUAAGCCGCAGCUGCUGCCCACAGUUAACCUGAUCUGCUCCCUGAGACAUCAUUAGGGAAAAUCAAUUAAUUUUUCCAUUCUCCCAAACGGUGCUGAGGUUGAAUAAGAAGAGAAGGAAGAGAAAAGGGGGAGAAAAAGAGGACUUCUGUGUCUAUUGUGUCGGAAAGACAAAACCAAUGGUAUUGAGUAGCCAGGUUAACACAGGUCAGUUACAGCUAGAAAGGAGAUACAAGUAGCUUGGAUUCCAUUUUAUAAAUGAAAAUGAGAGCUGGUCAACCAUGAAACAAACCUGCCUGCUACUCAAGCACAGCUUCCUUACUUCUUCUCCAGAUGCUUUUUUUCCAUGUGCUUCUGCUCUAUAAUUCUGGGUUGAGAUUACUUAAAGGUGAAUGGAAAACGCUGUGUUAAAGAAAAACCUACCCUGAAAAACUUGAUUCAAACUCCUCAAGGUUCAGGGAUUUGUUAUAAUUCAUUAAAAAUGAACUCUAAAAUAAGUAUUUGGAAAAUGGGAAUGUUACAGUGGGAUUUUUUUUUUUUUUUUUAAAUAAUCCUGGUCCAGACAUGGAAAAAAAAGACAAAGAUGAAGCUUAAUUGAAACUCACUGCACAGGCAAAAGAUAGGCUUCUGAAGUAAAACCCAUUAGGAUGGCUUUUAUGAAAUGAAAUGAAGCUGAGAGCAUUCCAGGUUUUAAUGGAAAUUAAAAAUACCAUUUUUAGGAAUGGACAUUUCAAUUUGGGUAUAUUAAUUUUUAGAAAUGCUGUUGUUGAUGUUCACUAGAAAAAAACUUUUAUUUGGUAGAGGAGAUUAAGUGCUCAACUCAAAACACUGUUUUUGCAAAUUCUUGCUUGAAGCUGGGCAGAUUUUGAUGGUAAACUGAAAUGAAUCAUCAAGAACUGAGCUGAGAAUUAAUCCUAUCAGACAAUCCUACUGAAACUUUAACUAACUACUCGUUAUGUUUUCUUAUGGAAAUUUUAGCUAAAAGCAAAAUAAACCCAAAUCCUUUCAGGAGAAACAACCUUAAUACUUUCUUUUUUUAAAACCUUGCACUAGAACCAUAGUUAACGAAUCAUAGCUAUAUAUUAAUUUUUUAUAUAAACUGUAUAAACAAAUGUCUCCUAGCCAGAACAGAGCUAAGCUUCAAACAUCAACAUAUCCAUUCACAGAGUUUUCAGAGCAUUGGUAAAACACCAUUCGCAGCCAACUGAACUUUUUUUUUUUAAUGAAAACAUUGAAUGAUGUGACAAAAUCAGAAACUGUUCUGAGCACGAAGCAGACGAUACAACAGCCUUGUACAACGUCCAAAGGCUACUGGGAGCAUUCUGUGUAAUGGUGAGACUGCUCCUCUUGCACAAAAGCAAGAGGAAAUGAAUCACGGUAACCAAGCAGCAUCCAGUAUGUCAGCACCUAGCAACGUCGGGUCCUGGAAUCGUACAAUCAUAGAAUCACUAAGGUAGGAAAAGACCUCUUGGAUCACCAAGUCCAAUCCCAACCCAUCCCCACCAUGUCCACUGUCCAUGCCACGUCUCCACGUUUAAGCAUCCUAUCCAUUGAAAACUUAUCGACAGGAACACAAAAGAGCUGAGAGUUUUUUUUUUUUAAACUAAAGUCUGGGUGCCUGGGGUGAAGGAGAAGACAACAGGCUCUGAAGGUCAAUCACUACUGAGCUGCCAUCCUGAUGGAGCUGUGGCAAAAGAAGGGAAAAGUUGCAAAAUCCACAUUCAAAAGCAACAACAAGUGAAGCGGUGUAUGUUUUGCCUUUCCUACUUCACACUAUGUUCUUUUUUUUUUUCCAAACCAUGAGUUAAAUUUACCAAAACAUUUCAAAGUGUGACGUUUGUAAUGAAAAGAGGGAUCAGAGAGAGGUGUGGGUAAUCCCUCCUCCACACCCAAAGAGAUGCCAACCCCAUGUUUUGAGCAGAGAUACCAGCAGGGAGAAGCCAUACAUUUAUUCAGAGAUCAGUAUCACCCCAACCAGAUGCCGUAGCAGACCUGAACGAUCACAUCACUAAGUAAUUAACUAAGUAAUCAAUUAAUUAAUUAUAAAGGAAAGUUACUCUUGUAACAUAAAUCACUUCAGGAGCUCUAGUUUCAGAAAUAAAGUGUUUACCAGAAGAACUAAAGAAACAGAGCCCCCAUUGUUUGCAGGAGAGGUUCCCUUAUCCUUAAUUAACGCUUCUGAGUGUAGGUAGCACUCAAAUGACCAAAGACCAAAUCAUCCACGGGUGUAAAUGAGCACAGGUGAGGAUCAGGGCUCCUUAGGGUGGUUGAUAGCCUGGGUCUAGAUUUCAGCAAUUAACAGAAUAACUCCAGAACACCCAAAGUUUUCAUUACUUUUUGAUAGAAGACCUUCAAGUAGGCUUUUCUUUCCCACCUUUUUCUUCUUUUUUUUUCCAGGGCUUGAGCAUCACUCAGAUUGACCGCACUCCAUCGAGUGGAUCUGAACACAGCCUCUAACCAUUACUGAAAUAUCAUGCAUUUUUUUCUGAAAUAUCAAUGCCAUUUUUUUUCUCUCUCUCUCUCUUCUGUAAAGUGUGUAUCAUGUCCUAUGCCUAUAAUUUCUAUUGUGAAGUGCGGGCUCUAGGGAAAUGUACAGUGUCCUGUACAAAUACUCUGGAACCUUGGGUUUCACUUCUACAACCUACAGAGAAAGCUGCAUGGGGAGGAGAGUGGAAGUUUCUCUGUUACCCAAAGUUUCCAUUUGUGACACAAUGCCGUCAGCACUGCUGCCAGCCACUGGUAUCACUAAACAUGGGGAAGAACCAAGCAAGAUGUACACAACUACCAUAUAUUUUAACAGAGUUUGACUUGAAUUCAUCUAAAUCAACUUAGAUUCAAUGUGGGAAGCAGAGAUCUGUGCUCUCAGUAGCCAAAACAGGGUCACUCAUCCCCAGCAUAGUGAUCCAGUAUGCUGCAGAGUAUCAAAACUCAUCUUUUCCACUCCUCUUUCCUUUCUUUUCUUGUGGGAGGUGUCACAGCUCCUCAGGGUCAUGAGAAAGGUGUUUUGUGUUUCUUUUGCUGGAGGUAGCCCUGCAAUAAGAUGAAAUCAAGGGCUCAGCAGAUUGAAGGGCACAAUGAAGGUCCAAUUCCUUUUCCAGGAAGAGACCACUGGGAAAAAACAUGUGAUAAACAAUGCCCUUAGUUUUGUUCUGUAAUUGGAGAGGAGCUUUAAUUACUUCAGAUGCCAUGAUUCUAUUUAUACUGAACAAUGCUUAAAGUUUCCUCAGAAAGGAGCAAGAAAUUCAGGCUAGCAAUGCGUUCUGAGGAGGCAAUUGGCAUCUUCAGUAGAAUGGACCAUCCAAGUGGUCCAAGAAGGCAAACUGAAACACUGGCAUCAUGCAGAGAGGGGUGCAGGAGCUGCUCUGGUAGAAGAACUGCAUGGGAGUGUGGUCAGCAGCGUGAGAUGGAUAAAGACACCUCUUCAGGCAGUGGUGAGAUAGCACCACUCUGGCAUUAUGAGAUUAAGAGCCAACAAACCUCAGGAGAAAAUCAGCCAUUCUAAGCCCAAAGCAAGAGACGCGCUGCAUGGGAAGGAGCAGAGCUAAGUAAGGUGCCCCGUGGGGAGAGGGAAGCCAGGACAGAAAAUUCCCUCCCAGCACCUCCCUGGAGCUGGCUGGGCUCUGUGCACCUGUGGCUUAUCAGCGGCUGCACUUCGCAGAGCUGCCUGGGCUGUUUCCAUGAGAGCUUGCUGGAAGCCCUCCCGGUUUCACAGAGCCCUGGAGUCUGUGUUCUUGCAACUGCGUUGGAUCUUCUGUUUGACUGCUAACACCGCUGCGUUUUCACACUUCCAGCAGGAAGAUUCAUCGGUACGGACCCAAUCGGUGACAAACCUGCUCUUUUGACAAGCGUUAAAAAUACCUAUUAAGAUGGCUUUACACGGAUAUGAGCAGAAGUACAUAAAAGCAGAUGUCAGUUAUUUAA